AUGGCGUCUUUUGGUCUCAGGCAAGCUACCAAAUUAACAACCAAAUUCUAUGGACCACUCAGGGUCUUGGAGAAAAUUGGCAAUUCCUCAUACAAGCUUCUCCUCCCACCCCAAAUCAACAUCCAUAAUGUCUUCCAUGUUAGCCAGUGAAAGAAGCAUAAAGGUACUCAUGUUGUUCCAGCCCAAGUACUACCACUGAUUGGGGCAGAUGGCAAAAUCCAAACUGAACCAGUACAUGUGCUGGAGACAAGAUCCAUGCCUAGGAAUGGUGUUGGGGAACGUAGCAGAAAUUCAAAAUUUUCCUACGUGCCACCAAGAUCUAUCUAUGGAGAAACCAGCAACGAGGGAAAGGAGAGUGCAUCUACAUACCCUUGUAGAUUGCUAAGCGGAAGCUUUCAAGAGAACGGGGUUGAAGGAGUCGUACUUGUCGUGAUCCAAAUCACCGGAGAUCCUAGUGCCGAACGAACGGCACCUCCGCGUUCAACACACGUGCAGCCCGAUGACGUCUCACAUGCCUUGAUCCAGCAAGGAGAGAGGGAGAGGUUGGGGAAGACUCCGUCCAGCAGCAGCACGAUGGCAUGGUGGUGA
rnacentral:rRNA from 1 species